UCUAAGCUAGUAGAGUGUGUCCAUUACCGUUUUGUUGCUAUGAUACAAGUCUGUGACCAAGGCAACCUACUGAAGGACGAGUUCAGACUGACUGUGCUCCAGAAGCAAUGCAGCAGGCAGAUGUGGUAGCUGGAAAAAGAGCAAGGACAGUGACACAUUCCUCCAGCAAGUUUAUACCUCCAAAAGUGACAGCAUCUGGGGACCAAGUGUUACAAUGCCCGAGCCUAUGGGGAACAUUUACUGCCACAGAGCUUCUGUCUGCCCCUUACCUGGUGUGCCCCAUUGUUAACAUGCUGGUACCAUGGGACAUGAGUCCUGGCUAAAACACUGAUUGGUAUGUUCUUAACUCCAGCUUUUCCCAAAGUUCAGUCCCUAUUCUAGAGGCAGAGGCAAGUGAAUCUCUGAGUUUGGGGCCAGCCUGGGCUACAUAAUGAGUUCCAGGCUAGCCAAGAUAAUACAGUGAGACUAUCUUUAAAAUUAAAGAGGGCUGAUGAAGUGGCUCAAUAGAUAAAGGCACUUGCUUCCAAGACUGGGUGAGUUCAGUCCCGGGGACUCUUGAAGAGAACUGCCUCCUCUAAGUCUGACUGUUCUGUCUAGUGAGAUCCAGCUCUCUUAGCUGUUUACAAGAACUUUUUUUCUUACUGUUUUCAACUUCUUUGUAGCUAUAUAAAAUACAUCUCUGCUAGAUAAUAAUGUCCUCGCCUUCUACCUUUCUAAAGCAAGAUCUCUUGUUUAACUACGGUUUCUACACCAGGCUACUGGAGGGCCUGUUUCUAUUUCCUGUCUUCCCAUAUGAACACUGGAAGAACAGACCAUUUUGUUCCAGAAUCGCCACAAGUGAGUUUUCACAUUUGAGCUGUUCCAGUUCUUUAGUUCCACAGUUUCUGUUCCAUUAAUUAAAGGAAAGACAAACAGCCACAGGCACUGAAAAGCAAUUCCUUCUAUUGGUGUGUAUCACUCCUCGUGACCAGUUCUUUGUGAAUUCCAUUAGCCCUUUGAAUGUACUCGUGUCUUUCAUUAGUGAAUCCAGAGAGCUCUGGGGUGGGUACAGUACAUGAACUGCUGGGAACUCAAGACUGGGUUGACUACCGAUACAUGCUCAAUAUGACUGAUUGGCAUCUCUGACUAGCAAUUUUAUGUCAGGUUUGUCCAGUCUUUUUCCCUUCUAUGUUAGCCAUAUUUUCCCAGCCUUUUUCUAUGCUUUGUUGAGAAACACAUACAUUGACUACCUAUUUUAAUAAAUUUAAUUUUUUUAAAUUU
rnacentral:lncRNA from 1 species